UUCGCACUCCAGAACGCGCGACGGACUUCGCGAGACAAUCUAAACUGACCAGUCUGCUUCAGGACUCGAACACGAAAGUCCGUGAGAGGGUCGAUUCCGCGAUUAUUAUAUAUGUAUAUACAUAUAUUAAAAACGUAUGUAUAUUAUGAACGGAAUUUUAUCGUCCGUAGUAACAAUUAGUUUCGUUGAUUCAAUUUAUUCGCCCCUCCGUUGAACGCGCAACUUUAUUUCAAUAAAACCGAAACGUACGUACACGGGAAGAAAAAAAAAAAAUUAAGGAAUCUGGAUUCAUCGUGUGUGCAGUGUGAUACAUGAUUAUUGAAUAUAUGUAAAAAUAAUAAUCACUUUCAUUUGUGUGCAGUAUAUAAAAGUUGAAAAAUAAAAGAAGAAAUAAAACCAGCGACGAUCACUUUAUAUGAAUCAUACUCGAAGUGAUUUAAUUCAUCUAGAACGUGUGCAGUUAGCUGAAAGUAUAAUAAAAAAAACAAUAUAAAUAAAUAAAGCAAAAAAACAAAGAA
rnacentral:lncRNA from 1 species